GCAUAUCAAUAAGCGGAGGAAAAGAAACCAACAGGCAUUGCCCCAGUAACGGCGAGUGAAGCGGCAAGAGCUCAAAUUUGAAAUCUGGCCUCCCUUGGGGGGUCCGAGUUGUAAUUUGUAGAGGAUGCUUCGGGUGUGGCCGCCGUCUAAGUUCCUUGGAACAGGACGUCGUAGAGGGUGAGAAUCCCGUCUUGGGCGGCCGGUCCGCGCCCGUGUGAAGCUCCUUCGACGAGUCGAGUUGUUUGGGAAUGCAGCUCUAAGCGGGUGGUAAAUUUCAUCUAAAGCUAAAUACUGGCCGGAGACCGAUAGCGCACAAGUAGAGUGAUCGAAAGGUUAAAAGCACCUUGAAAAGGGAGUUAAACAGCACGUGAAAUUGUUGAAAGGGAAGCGCUUGCGGCCAGACUCGAGGGGCGGGGUUCAGCGGGUGCGCGUCACCCGUGCACUCCCCGUCCCCCCGGGCCAGCAUCAGUUUCGACGGCCGGUCAAAGGCCCCCGGAAUGUGUCGUCUCUAGGGACGUCUUAUAGCCGGGGGUGCAAUGCGGCCCGCCGGGACUGAGGAACGCGCUCCGGCUCGGAUGCUGGCGUAAUGGCCGUAAGCGGCCCGUCUUGAAACACGGACC
rnacentral:rRNA from 1 species